rnacentral:rRNA from 1 species
UACGUAGGGCGCGAGCGUUAUCCGGAAUUAUUGGGCGUAAAGAGCUCGUAGGCGGUUUGUCACGUCUGCUGUGAAAACUGGAGGCUCAACCUCCAGCCUGCAGUGGGUACGGGCAGACUAGAGUGCGGUAGGGGAGAUUGGAAUUCCUGGUGUAGCGGUGGAAUGCGCAGAUAUCAGGAGGAACACCGAUGGCGAAGGCAGAUCUCUGGGCCACUACUGACGCUGAGAAGCGAAAGCAUGGGGAGCGAACAGG